rnacentral:rRNA from 1 species
GUUAGGAAUAUUGGACAAUGGGCGCAAGCCUGAUCCAGCCAUGCCGCGUGAGUGAUGAAGGCCUUCGGGUUGUAAAGCUCUUUAGUCCACGAAUAUAAUGACUGUAGUGGAAGAAUAAGCCCCGGCUAACUUCGUGCCAGCAGCCGCGGUAAUACGAAGGGGGCGAGCGUUAUUCGGAAUCACUGGGCGUAAAGCGUGCGUAGGCUGUUUUGUAAGUCAGAAGUGAAAGCCCAGGGCUUAACCCUGUAAUUGCUUUUGAAACUACAAGACUCGAAUUCGGGAGAGGAUAGCGGAAUUGUCAGUGUAGCAGUGAAAUGCGUAGAUAUUGACAGGAACACCAGUGGCGCAAGCGGCUAUCUGGACCGAUAUUGACGCUGAGGCACGAAAGCGUGGGGAGCAAACAGGAUUAGAAACCCCAGUAGUCC